rnacentral:lncRNA from 1 species
UCAUUAGUUAAAUUGAUCUUUAUAGAAGUUUUUAGUAAUUACAUCUUAAACUAUUAUUUGAUUUUCAUACUGUUAGGAGUAAUUUAGAAUGGGCCGAUGAUGUGUGAAGAUUCAAGCCCAUUAUGACCCAUCGGAUCCAUAUCAGUGCCUCUUAAGUGACCUAAUUAUUGUGGUUUGUCCAACUCCUGGUUGACAAAUAUCUGUCCUGACCCC